GGCCUGCCAGCCACAUGCAAGAAAAGCCAGCUCAAAGCAGGGCCACAGUCCUCCUGCCCAUCUCCCCAGGAAGCACACUAAGAGUACCCCCCUGCGUGGAAAGCCAGAAGGGGCCAUGCAGAUAACCGUGUUUGGGAAUGCAGCAGCCAUCCUUCAACAAGGAAGCAACAGUCCAACCCCUCAGGAUGACAGAAGAUACAUACGGAAGCACAUAAAUGACAUUAGGGAGCGGUGCCCAUGUCCGGAUAUCUUAUGAUUGCAAGGCAAAAAGCCUCUUCAGUUGAUAGAGCCUUUUGGGUUCCAGCAGCCAAAAGUAGUAGUCUUAACUAACCCACACGGGAAGCAAGAGAUCCGACCAGGGAGCAUUUCAGGAAAAAAGACAAGGAGCUUCGCGACAACCCAGACACCACAUAUCUGGAGUGAACAGAUUACAAGAGAUGAAACACACUCCAAGCCCAAAGUCCAGAGCCCAAAAUGAAGAUGCCACACCAAAACUCGACUUAACAGAUGAGCAGGGAGUCAUCUGACCUGCCCCCCUCCUCGGCCAAAUGAGCAUUCUGGGCUUUGAAUCCCUGAAAGAAAAGUAAGGCGGGGGCUUCUGAGGGGGUCGUGGAGGGUAGCAGAUACAGGACCAGGACCCUGCUAAGCCGUGUGUGAGCCCCGCUGUGCCACACAGACCAGCUUCUCCAAGCAUGGAACAUCCAGGGCAAUAGAAUGCUCAGGGUGCACACGGUUGAGCCAGCAUAGAAGCAGGUCCCAGCUCCCACUGCCCUGCACUGAGCAAGCGCAUUUCAGCCAGCAGGAUAGGAAGCUGCGAGUACAGCCGAGAGGGUGGCACGCAGUGCGCAGGCGCGCCACAGCUGUACUGCGUAGCAG
rnacentral:lncRNA from 1 species